rnacentral:rRNA from 1 species
AGGACGAACGCUGGCGGCGUGCUUAACACAUGCAAGUCGAGCGGAAAGGCCCUUCGGGGUACUCGAGCGGCGAACGGGUGAGUAACACGUGAGCAACCUGCCCCUGGCUCUGGGAUAGCCUCCGGAAACGGGGAUUAAUACCGGAUAUUCACUGCUCCCUGCAGUGGGGGGUGGUGGAAAGUUUUUCGGCUAGGGUGGGCUCGCGGCCUAUCAGCUUGGUUGGGGGGUGACCGGCCCACCAAGGCGACGACGGGUAG